UACGUAGGCAGCGAGCGUUGUUCGGAAUUACUGGGCGUAAAGAGUGUGUAGGCGGUGCUCCCAGUCUGUUGUGAAAUCUCCCGGCUUAACUGGGAGGGUGCAGCGGAAACUAGAGUGCUAGAGGGUGGGAGAGGUAAGCGGAAUUCCUGGUGUAGCGGUGAAAUGCGUAGAUAUCAGGAGGAACACCAAAGGCGAAGGCAGUGUCCUGGGGAGUACCUGACGCUCAGGUGCGAAAGCCAGGGGAGCGAACGGG
rnacentral:rRNA from 1 species